rnacentral:rRNA from 1 species
UACGUAGGGGGCAAGCGUUGUCCGGAUUUAUUGGGCGUAAAGAGCUCGUAGGCGGCUUGGCAAGUCGGAUGUGAAAACUCCAGGCUCAACCUGGAGCCGCCAUUCGAUACUGCUAUGGCUAGAGUCCGGUAGGGGAGUGUGGAAUUCCCGGUGUAGCGGUGAAAUGCGCAGAUAUCGGGAGGAACACCGAUGGCGAAGGCAGCACUCUGGGCCGGUACUGACGCUGAGGAGCGAAAGCGUGGGGAGCGAACAGG